GCUGGGGCUCAGUGGUAGAGUGCUUGCCUAGCAUGUGUGAGGCACUGGGUUCAAUUCUCAGCACCGCA
rnacentral:tRNA from 1 species